CAUUUUCACUGUACCUAUUUUAUUUCUGCUUAGUUUUCAUUGACAAUUUAUUAAUAGAUUUUUUUCACCAUUUAUCUCUGAGGAUCUUACACAUAGGUAUUUUAAAGUCCUUUUUAGAAUUAAGUGCAGCAAUUUCAUGCUGAUUUUGUAGUUUGGCUUUUCUCGUGUGAUUUUUCUCUUGAGGUUGGGUCCAGGUCUUCCCAGCUCCUUAGGCCCGAGCUUCCUAUGAGCCAUAGUUGUAGGCAGUGUUUGGGAGUGUAGCUUUGUUUUAGUCAUCUUUCACAAGUCAGAAAGCUCUCCCUAAGUCCCUGGUUUUAAGAAGGGACCCUGGAUCCUGUAUUCUGCCCUCAGGGAGGGUGUAUUUAUUCUCUACUACACCCAGGAGGAAGCUCUGCUUUUCUUCCAGGCAUUGAACCAACAAAGCUGGUGCCCAAGUCAUCAUCUUGCAGUUUUUUCCGUUCUCAUAGCAAGGAAGGAUUUAUCUUAUUCUUUAGCUUGGCUUUGCCUUUUUAUUUAUUUAUUUUUAAGUACUUUAUGUUUCAUUGCUAUUUGUUCAGACAGGGAGGAAGUGGCCCUCAAGAAAUGAAUUUACAAGUUUAUAUUAACACUGAGGCCCCCUGUUGGUCAUUAGAUCAGAAACAGUGUUUUAUUUUGUUUUGCUUUUUUUUUCUUUUUUGGGGAAGGGGAAGACGUGAGGAAGAUUGGCCCUGAGCCAACAUCUGUUGCCAAUCUUCCUCUUUUUGCUUGAGGAAGAUUGCUGGUGAGCUAACAUCUGUGCCAAUCUUCCUCUACUUUAUGUGGGAUGCCACCACAGCAUGGCUCAAUGAGCAGUGCCAGGCCUGCACCAUGGAUCUGAACCCAUGAACCCCGGGCUUCGGAACCCAACCACUACACCACUGAGUUGGCCCCUUGUUUUACAUUUUUAAGUUAUGUCUAACACUCAAGUUGUUUUCAGUUAUGUGGAGCCCUUUGACAGGAAUCAAGAGAGAAGAACAGAGACUAUGAGGUUUCCCAUGUGGUCCUGAGUUUUAUUAUAGUGGUGAAUCUAGAUCCACACAGAUCGGGGAAUAAAUACUAUUUUUUCCAUAAUGGUAGAAACAAGUGGUUUAAUCUCUUUGAGCCCUGGUUUCCCCAUCUAUAACAUGGGAAAAUUGUUUCAACAUUUUUGUUUUUUUUAAGGAUUAAAUAGAGUGUAUAUGAAGUAUAUACCACAGUGACUGGCUCUGUAUCUUCACAGAGAGUAACAAAAAACCAACUCAGAUGCUUAAGCAAAAUGUAAAUUGACUGGCAUAUUUUACCGGAAGUUCAGAGAUAGGGUGGGUUUACAGACUAACCUAAUCCAGUGUCUCCAGUCGUGAUCCUUGUGAUUCCCCUGGAUGUACACUCUUCAUAUAUCUACUUCUUGUAUAAAUGUUACUAUAUCUCCUCGUCAGACUGAUAGUGACAAGGUGCCCACAACUAGUCUGGACCUGUCUGCAUAAACAACAUCCAGAAGAGACAAGUUAUGUCAGAGGAAGAGGACAUGCUGAUUGGCAAAAUCCACAAGCCCCAUUCUUUGAGCUUGGGGUAGGAUGAGGCUCCCCUGAAUUACAAAGGAUGUAAGUGGGAGGAGCACUUGUGUUAAGAGGGUGAAAGUGGUCUCUGGGUAGGAGUGCCAGGAUGUUUUUGGGUACCCAGCUCAAACUGGUGUAAACAAUAGAAACAUGUAUUACUUCAUAUGACAGGCAGUCCAAAGGUAUGGCUCAGCUCACAAGAGUCAAUUGUUGGAUACUCAAGAAUUUCGUAAGUCAGUUGUUAAACUGUUGGUAGCUUGAUAGUGUCAUGGUCAGAGCAAUUACUUUGCUUAGAGAAUGCUGACUUUGUAUUUUUAAAGUAGAAGGAAUCAGUUUCUUCAGUCAAGUGAACGUAAGGGGACUUUUGCAGGUAUUGCUUCCAGCCUUUAAAGUCCUACAUUUAAUUUCUAGCCACCAAGCUAAGCUUCUGUCUGGAGACAUUUACCAUCAAUAAAGUUAAGACCACUCUCCAUCUUCUUUUCUUCCAUAAGAAUGCUUUAAGGGAGCAAUUGACUUCCUGGCACCAAUAGUAGUCAUUUUUUAGUUGUUUUUUACUGAGAGGACAUAAAUCUUGCUGGUAACGUCAGCCCCCUUGGGAGAUGCCUCCAGUCAUCAACUGUCAGCUCCUAUGGGAGCCACAAACCCAGAAACAUGGAAGCUAGGUACCUGGGUGCUGCCAAACCAGGAGAGUACAGACUCCCUUCUUUCCAUCCUACUCUCCCUCACCUCCUCAACUCCCUCCUCCUCUUCCCCCUCUCCCACAGGACCAGUGUGAAGUCAUGGCUCUCGUGCCCUCCACUCUCUUCAACUCCAUCUCUCCUUCCUUUUUCUUCUCUUUUUCUCCACCUCAUGCUUCUGUUGUGUACUUUCCUUCUCUCUCUCUUUCGAAUUUUCUUAGGAAGGAGGCCUUGGUGAGAGGGAGUGUGAUUCUUCCUCCUCUCCACAUCCAGUGUGUCACCAGGUCCUGUUGAUUUGACUUCCUAAAUACUCUUGAAUCCAUCCAGUUUUGUCUGUGCAUUCAAGACCGUUACCCUGUUCCUGGCCACAUGCUCACCUUGGAUUAUUGCAGCAGCUUCUUAACUGGUCUUGUUUUCACUCUUGUGCCUCCAAUCCACACUCCAGACAGCAGCCAGCAUGAUCUUUCUCAAUGGAAAAUUUGAUUAUGUUGCUUCCCUGCUUAAAAUCCUCCCAUGGCUUCCUAUGCUCUUAGAGUAGAGUCUACACUGGGUUUAUAAGGCCCUCUGAGACCUGGGCAUAUGCACCUUUCUAGUUCCCUUUCUGAACACUUUUCCCUCUCCCACUCUAAAGCCCCAGCCAUGUCAAACCACUUUUUGUCCCUCAAAGCUGCUGGGCUAUCCUUCCUUGCCUCCGAGUUUUUCUCUUCUUGCUUCUUCCUCCCAUUUUGCCUUGCUACCACCAAUUUAUCCUUGAGGUCUCAGCUUUAAAUAUCACUUUUUAUGGAAUUCAUAUCCUGAUGCUGUCUAAACCAUACACCUCUGACGUGUUCACAUACAAUGCCAUUUUAUAGAUAGUUGUUUAACUGUCUCUCCCUUGCUAAAAUCAGGAAAUCAUGAUUAACACAGAGUAGGUAUUCUUUCAAUCAACAUUUCUUAAGCGAAUCCAUUAAUGAAGGAAUAAAUGUAUGCCCAAGUCAUUUGUGUGUCUUUGUGACCAGCAUUUGGUAGGAGUUAUAGUGAAUGCUAGAAAGGCUGAUCUUUUUCCUUAAAAAAUGAUCAUGUUGUUAAAUUAUCAGAGUAUCCAAAGCCCUUCAAGAUUCUUCCCCUCCCUCUGUGUCAUUCCAACCCUCUUUCUCACUGCUUCCUCAAUGCCCCCCACCUUCUUGUUUCUAACACCAUUACACUCAGUCGAAAUCUUGCCCUGACUGCUUGUACCCUGUGCUCCCCACCAAAAAGAACAUCUAGCCAAAUUCCACCCCUCCUCAAAGGCCCAGGGAAAGAACUCCUUCAAGAGGCCCUCACUAAGUCUCUGCAAGCCUCAAUUCUCUUCUGAAGUCAUCCGUGACUGCCUUUAGGAACACCCCUGGCAUUCCAGCAAGCACCUUAUACUACUUGAUUUGUCAUGUGUAUGUUGAUAUGUCAUGUAUAUCUUGUCCCCCUAUAUACGCUGUAAGGUCCUUCAGGGCAAGAAACAAACCAAAAAGAAGUGAUUAAGAGGACCAGCUCUGAAGACAGUGCAUUUGGAUCUCUGCCAUCCCUUGAUUUGAGAGCUUGCCACCUUGGGCAAGUCACUGAACCUCUCUGAGCCUCAGUUUCCUGACUUCUAGAAGAGAGAUGAUAAUAAUAAUAUCUUCCAUGUAGUUUUGCUCUGAGGAUUAAAUGAGAUACUCCCACUGGAGUACCUGGAAGGCGGCUGACACAUGGUCCGGCUCACAGGGAUACGUCCAGCGCUGUGCCCGGGAAUCUGCAUAUUACAAAGCACCCUCGAUAACUGUGAUGCUGAAGCCCCUUGGACCACAUUUUAAGAAACUGUACUAUGCAAAUACGUACCAAUGCAAGGAGAGAGGUUAAGACUUGUAUUCCCUAGGGCUGGUUUGCUUUGGAUAGAGAUCCUGAAGACCGAUGACAACAGUAACAGCUUUGAUGGAUCACCUCAGCCUUGCCUCAGUUUCACCCUUACUGUCAAUAAGAGCAAGUAUCUGAACAGGGAAGUUUACUGAGGUGGUUUCCUGCGGGGAGUGGGGAUGGAGCACAGGGAGGGUCUCAGGUGUGAAGAGGUUUGAAGUAGUCUUACUUCCCCCUUUAUGCAGUAUGAUCAUUGGCCCAUGCAAGAACCCUUUUUAAUUUUAUUUUCAUCAGUGCAUUUUAUUCCCAGACGUUGAGGUCGAUAUUAUUACGCCCAUUUUAAAGAUGAAGAAACUGAGGGUCCAAGAAGACAAAGGAUUAUACAAACUCAUACAUCUUUCUGCUGACAACUCAGUUUUUUGUACUCCAGAGAGAUUUCUAAAACAAUGAGUGAUGUCACUCGUAGGAACGCUUAGUCAUGCCCUCACUGGAAGCCCAAUGAACUUUCACUGAAAACCAACAUGGGUCUGGCAUGAGAUCUAGAGUUAGAUGAGGGGUUCCUGUCCCUACCUAGAGAAGAUUCUCAGUUGACACUUAAUAAAGAUGACCAGACCAGGCUCGAUUCAGCUAGAUAUCUUCUACGCC
rnacentral:lncRNA from 1 species